GCCAAAGAGAGCCUACGUGGACGAGCAGCUGACUAGUAGAGGUCACAGCUAACGCCUCAGCAUCAGCGCCGUGACGGCUAACGCGGGUGUGCGGACUCAUGGCAGCGAGGAGUCGUCAAGCUCGUCGUUGUCAGAGAGGACGCGUCCCGAGGACACGAUGACCGCCCGCCGCUGCUCCUCCUCGCAACUUUUCCCUUGGGUGCCCUCGAUGUGCUGGAUCGCCUUCGGAGACACGAGAGAGUGAAGACAUGAGGGCGAGUUGCCAUGGACGCCCUCUGGUGCGUGGGUGUACCAUUGCAUGUAACUGUCAUACAAGAGUACGGUAUAAUUGAGGUUCUGUCGGGAUGUGGAGACCGUGUUGAUGACAGACGCCGGGCCCAUGGUUACCACGGUGACGUGAUGGGGCUGCUGAGGUUGGACUGGCGCUGGGACGAUGACAG